rnacentral:rRNA from 1 species
UACGAAGGGGGCUAGCGUUGUUCGGAAUUACUGGGCGUAAAGCGCACGUAGGCGGAUUGUUAAGUUAGGGGUGAAAUCCCAGGGCUCAACCCUGGAACUGCCUUUAAUACUGGCAAUCUCGAGUCCGAGAGAGGUGAGUGGAAUUCCGAGUGUAGAGGUGAAAUUCGUAGAUAUUCGGAGGAACACCAGUGGCGAAGGCGGCUCUCUAGUACGGUACUGACGCUGAGACGCGAAAGCGUGGGGAGCGAACAGG